rnacentral:rRNA from 1 species
UGGGGAAUUUGGACAAUGGGCGAAAGCCUGAUCCAGCAAUGCCGCGUGUGUGAAGAAGGCCUUCGGGUUGUAAAGCACUUUUGUCCGGAAAGAAAUCCUUGGCUCUAAUACAGUCGGGGGAUGACGGUACCGGAAGAAUAAGCACCGGCUAACUACGUGCCAGCAGCCGCGGUAAUACGUAGGGUGCAAGCGUUAAUCGGAAUUACUGGGCGUAAAGCGUGCGCAGGCGGUUUGCUAAGACCGAUGUGAAAUCCCCGGGCUCAACCUGGGAACUGCAUUGGUGACUGGCAGGCUAGAGUAUGGCAGAGGGGGGUAGAAUUCCACGUGUAGCAGUGAAAUGCGUAGAGAUGAGGAGGAAUACCGAUGGCGAAGGCAGCCCCCUGGGCCAAUACUGACGCUCAUGCACGAAAGCGUGGGGAGCAAACAGGAUUAGAUACCCUGGUAGUCCACGCCCUAAACGAUGUCAACUAGUUGUUGGGGAUUCAUUUCCUUAGUAACGUAGCUAACGCGUGAAGUUGACCGCCUGGGGAGUACGGUCGCAAGAUUAAAACUCAAAUGAAUUGACGGGGUCAUAGCUGUUUCCU